GACGAACGCUGGCGGCGUGCUUAACACAUGCAAGUCGAACGGAAAGGCCCUGCUUUUGUGGGGUGCUCGAGUGGCGAACGGGUGAGUAACACGUGUGUAACCUGCCCUUGACUUUGGGAUAACUUCAGGAAACUGGGGCUAAUACCGGAUAGGAGCUCCUGCUGCAUGGUGGGGGUUGGAAAGUUUCGGCGGUUGGGGAUGGACUCGCGGCUUAUCAGCUUGUUGGUGGGGUAGUGGCUUACCAAGGCUUUGACGGGUAGCCGGCCUGAGAGGGUGACCGGCCACAUUGGGACUGAGAUACGGCCCAGACUCCUACGGGAGGCAGCAGUGGGGAAUAGUGCACAAUGGGCGGAAGCCUGAUGCAGCAACGCCGCGUGCGGGAUGACGGCCUUCGGGUUGUAAACCGCUUUCGCCUGUGACGAAGCGUGAGUGACGGUAAUGGGUAAAGAAGCACCGGCUAACUACGUG
rnacentral:rRNA from 1 species